UACGUAGGGGGCAAGCGUUGUCCGGAAUCAUUGGGCGUAAAGCGCGCGUAGGCGGCCAGAUAAGUCCGGUGUGAAAGUCACAGGCUCAACCUGUGAAUGCCGCUGGAAACUGUCUGGCUUGAGUCCGGAAGGGGCGAGUGGAAUUCCUGGUGUAGCGGUGGAAUGCGCAGAUAUCAGGAGGAACACCGAUGGCGAAGGCAGGUCUCUGGGCCAUUACUGACACUGAGAAGCGAAAGCAUGGGGAGCGAACAGG
rnacentral:rRNA from 1 species